rnacentral:rRNA from 1 species
AGAGUUUGAUCCUGGCUCAGAACGAACGCUGGCGGCGUGGAUAAGACAUGCAAGUCGGACGAGAUCUUCCGUUGUAGCAAUACGAUGGAAAGUCUAGUGGCGAACGGGUGCUUAACACGUGGGCAACCUGCCAGGAAGUGGGGGAUAGCUCGCCGAAAGGCGAAUUAAUACCGCAUGUGAUCAGAGAGGACAUCCUUUCG